AGGGAUACUAAUGUGCUGUUUAGAGUCCUUGUUUCUACUGAAGUGUGACACCAAUGGACUAAAUGGCAUUUCAAGGCUACUAUAAGUCAAGAACACCUGACUGGGAUAAAGUUCUGACUCUGGCAAAUACUAUGUGACAAAGGGAAAGAGCCACCGAACUGCUCAGGGGUUCCAGCUACUACUACUCACUAAAAUGGUUCUAUUUAAAGAACCAAAAAACCUCUAGAAUGGUGGUGUUCAUUGGACAAAGCUCCAGGUAAUUUGAUUUAUGCAGGUGUUUCCAUCUGUAUCAAUUGGAAUGAAGUAAAAAAAGAAGAAGAACGAGAUGAGUUCCAGGCAUAAUAAAGAAAUAUGAAAUGUAGAGUGGCAUAGAGAAGUGUCAUAUUUAUUAUCUUUAGUGUCCUGGGCAAGUUCUGAACUGCCUGCUCUAAGUUAAAACUGCACAUUGGGCACAUUAGAUUUCCUGAGACUACUGAUUCAAUUAUUUCUCCAUGUUGUCCUCUAUCUCUGACAGUUUUUUUCUCCAAAGUUUCCCCUCCUUUUUCUUCCUUUUCUACAUUCAAGUAACAUUCUUGUGCAAGGGGGCAAUCUUUUGGGGCUUUCUUCUAUAAAUAGCAGACCUUUAUCCUUUGCAUUUUGGGUGCUGUAAGUCAUAUAGGACACUAUUCUAAAUGGAUCAUCUUAUAGUUUCUACUUAUUUUAUGUGUUUAGGCAGGUAAGGAAAUUCCUAGAUUUGUUACCCAUCUAUAAUGAUAGUCUUAUGCUACUAUUUUGGGCACUGGUAGUUUAAGCAACUUGCUUGCUUUUACCCAAUUAGAAUGAGUUAGAGAUAGGACUUGAAUCCAGGCAUUUUAGACUCAUGCAGCCCUUCUUUCAAUUUCACUAUAUCCUCCCAUUCACUCGAAUAUCCCUCUGCCUCCAUCUUUCUCCAUUCAUCCUAACCUCUUUCCUGCUACUCAGCUUCCUACUUUGCUUCUCCCUUUCUUCUCCACCCCUCCUCUCUCACUCACUAUCAGUUUCCUACUCCAAUCACAGGUAACUAGAUUUCUUGUGAUUACAAUAAUGGAGUCCAAACUCUAGCAAGUCAUCAUAAUUUAGGAAGACUUUAAAAUAUAGUCCAAUGAUGGGUAGCCCUAUUUUCUGAGAAUCAGCCUAGAUAAUUUCUCAUCUAGAUAAUCUCAUUCAUACAGUGAGUCUCAUCACUAUAUUGGGAAUCACACAAGUUGAUUAAAUUUAAUAUUAGGAAAUAUACCAAGGCCAAAUAACAAUCCCUGGAACUAUUGAAAUAACUUGUACUCACAAGCAUAUAUCAUGCAUGACACUUACUCUUCAUAAUAUAUCAAUAUGUUGAUGCUUGGGUAUCUGUUAUGUUAUCAAUAUGAAUUCUUUAUCCAUUGUUGAAGACAGAAACUGUUCAUGUCUUCUUGUUCUGUGUAACUAUUCCAUCAUGUUUCUGUAAAUUUUCUACCUAAAAAACAUAGCUAAGGUACUGAGGAUUCAACAAUUCCUUUAUAUACUCACUCACUCCAAAAAUUAAUCUCUUUUAAAAUAUAUUGCAUGUUUAUAAAUAUAUGCAUAUUUACACAUAAUUUGAGUAGUAUUCAAAUAUGUAACAGAAAACAUAUCCUAUUGCUCUGAAGAUAUGAAAAAAUGCAUCAUCUCUUUCCAAAUGUCAAUAUAAAAAUCAAUUCUCACUUAAAUGCCUUGAAUUUUUCAAUUUAGAAAUGAACUUCAUAGGAUCUUACAUACCAGCUAUUAUGGUGCUCUUAAAUAUGUCGAUAAUAGAGUUUAUGCUUCUUGUGUAAUAGUGUAUAGAUUGUAUUUUGUUAUAUUCAUUAUACAAAUUGAAAUGAAUAAUAAUUUGCAGUUUAACAUCCCAUGAAUAUUUUUUUAGUAUUCUCCAGUAGUUAAUAUGCUAACCAACUCUACUGAAAGGCAUACAGAUGUGGCAGGAGUCUAUCUAGAGACUUUAAUUAUCACCUUGUCAAAUUCAAAUUAUUAUCUUGUGAGUUCAUUUCCAUAAAGUAUCCCCUUUACUGUUAGAUGAUUUAACAUGUGUCUACUUUUUCUUUAUCUUAUUUGUAUCUAUCUGGAGGCUCUAAGUGUUUCAAAAGUUGAUAGCUUUCUGUCAGAUCAUGAUGUUUAUCAUUACUAAUUUCAUAAAAAGGCUUUGUAAAAAUAUACUAUUUUGGCCAAAGAUGCCAUGUAAAAUAUGAAAAAGAGUUGUUUUGUCCCAACAAUAAAUCUUGAAUAAAAACUAAAUAACCAGAGCUGUAUCUGGUCCUAUUCUCCUGGGUCAGGUUACAUAAUGAUUGUAUGUUUAAGGUCUAAUUGUAUCCAAGUCUAGUUAGAAUGAGCUGUUCAAACUCUCCAUCAAAUUUAUUGAUGCAGCAGAGUUAUAAUUUCAUUUAUAUCAUUAUAGGCUUUUCUGGUUAUUCUUACUGACCUUACUACCCUACUACAUACAAGACAACAGCCACUUACAGGACCUCUGUCAAAAAAUUCUAUAUAAUCCUAUGACUUUAGUUAUUUUGGAUCAUUCUGAAUACAUACCUGUUCUGUGGCUGGGCAUGCCAUUAAACCACUUUGACCCAUCCUAAUAUUGUUGAGUGCCAUUUCCUUAAAUUUCAACUUUUUUUCUAAAUCUUUUCCACCUACAGAACAAAAAUAAAAGGCUGUGAUAAUGGUUUUCUAGGUCAAACUGGAAAAAGCUAGUUCUCCCUACUAAAUAAUUUCAAUGGUCAGAAGAAAUAGCAGGAUGUCAACCUUAAGAAAUGGACAAGCAGUGCUAUUAAAACUGAGAAAGAUGCUGGGAAAGGAUGUGAGAAUGAAGACUUAAAAAACAGUGAAGUUUUUUUUUAUUACCUACUUGAAGCCAAUAGACUAGGCAGUGGGAUAGGAAAGGAAAUAAAAUAUAAUUUAAAAAGAAAAGGUCAAGAAAAACAAAGUCCUCAGUACCUCUCCACUAUGAUUAAUGCAUCACAAGUGGGAAAAUCAAUCUGUUAGAUAAAUUCACUGAUUUUAUUAAUUUAUAACAUAUCUUCAGGUUAUGAAUGUUACAGAAAAUAGUUUAGCUAUUUAAAAGAAAGAGGACAUUUAACUGUAAGAUGAAUGGUAUGAUAUUCUCUCUUCCUUCUCCAUCCUAAAUCCUGUACAUCAUUUCAUACUCAACCAAAAUGUCACCUCUAGAAAGAAUGUUUCUCUAGACAUUUCCUACAUACAAGCCCCACAAUUUAUAACUAGAGCUCACGAUCUAGUUCUACUAUUCCAUAUUGUUUUUUGUAUACUGAUUAUACAGUAUUAAAUCUUUACAUAUGUAUUAUAACUUAUGAAGACUGAGUACAAGGACUGUCUGCAUAUUCUUCAAUGUAUGGGUACUAUUAAUAUAACAGAGAUUCUUUUGGUUAUGGAACGAAUGAAUGAUAUCCAUUAUUCACUAACAAUUUAAUAGUGCUUGAGGUUUUAUUUUGUUCCAUGAUUUCAAUAGUUCACAAAAUUCUAAUGACAAUAAUGUAACCUAAUGCAAAGAAAUCUAUAACCAUAACUAUUUAUAAAUGGUAAAAUUAAAAUAUUGUAAUAAUAAUCAAUAAGAAGAUUAUUUGGCAGAGCUAAUAAACAAAUACAAACUUUCUCCAUGUCUCUUUAGUAGCUCAAAAAACUAGCUGAUUUU